UUGUUUAGCGUCGCAGCUGCUGCUGCUGCUGCCUGUUGCCUGCUGCUGCUGCUGCUGCUGCUGCUGCCUCCUGCUGCUGCUGCUGCUGCUGCUGCCUCCUGCUGCUGCUGCUGCUGCUGCUGCUGCUGGUAUUCUGAGCUUUGAAAGUUUGGAAAAUUUUGUUUAAAUGGAGGUCCGAAGAUAUAGCUUCAUUGCAAUAUGUGCCAAGCAUUGAGGAGAUGGAGUUCUAUGAAUCAAUUGAAAUGGAAAUGGGGAGUAAAACAUCCAUGACAAAUUUGAAUAAGACUCUCCCUUCUUAGUGUGAUUAAGAUAUGUUGGAAGGUUGCUUUGUGAAGGCUUUUGAAAGAAUGGAUGCAGCAGAUUUUUUGCAAGGAUAUUAUCUCUAUGUGUAUUUUUGUGAUGGGUUGUAAUCUUUAAUGUCAUAAGUUUAAUUUGGUUUGUGUAUUAUUUUUUGUAAUGGUUUGUAAGAGAUUAUAUUUCCUUUCCUUGGUUGGUUGGUUGAAUUGAAUGUGUGUAUGUGAGAUUUAUUUAGUUUAGAAACUUAGAUUGGAAUGAUGGAUUUUUAUAGCUUGAAUUUACAUAAUUUCAGGUUUUGAAAGAGAAGUAAAAAGUGUUUUGGGCUUGUUCAUAAGAAUUUAAUAGGUUUUGGCAAUUUGACAACAAAAAAAAGGGUUUUGGCUGAAAGGAAAUCGGAUUUGGGCUUUGUUUUACUAAAAAAAUAUGAUUUGGGCUUUUUUGGCCUAAAAUAAAUAAGAUUUGGGCUUUUGGAAAAUUGAAAAAAUGGGCCCAAGCCCAAACCGAGAAGAAUUCAUAACCGACCCGAGAACCGAGCCCAUUGCCGGUUUGGCCCAUUUUCGGGUUUCAUCUUAGACCCGACCCGACUCGAGAACCGAGCUCUCCUUCGGUUUGGCUCGCGGGUUGGCCAAAAUUUGACCCGACCCGAACCGUGCCCAGGCCUAGUAGUGAAGGGUCCAUCGAGUUGUGUUUAAGGCCAUUACGGUUAGUCUAAGUGGCGAGGUAGGGUGGCGGUAAUGUGUUAAGUUAUUAGGUUUUGAUUUGGGUAAAUUACUUAAAUGGUCCUUAAAUUUGUAUGCAAUUUACAUUUUGGUCCAUAAAUUAAAUUAUUAGUCCAAAUGGUACAUAAACUUUAUGUUAAUCGCUCAUUUGAUCCAACCGUUAGGUUCUGUCAAUGUUGUCGUCAAAUUUAAGGGUAAAACCGUCCAAACCAUGUAGAAUAGCCAAUUCUUGAAGCGACAAAGGCGUCAUUAGAGGAAUUCACCUUCUUCUUCAACGAAGGCUGCGAUGUCUGAAAGCUCAACAAAUUCAACUCGAUCCAAUCGGUAUUGCUUUUGUGGGAUGAAGAUUAAACGGCGCACUUCAUGGACAGAUCUGAACCCGGGAAGAAGGUUUGAGGCAUGCGACCAAAAUCGGAAUAGCCAAACAAGA